rnacentral:ribozyme from 1 species
UUUUUUUUUUUUUUUUUUUUUUUUUUUUUUUUUAAU